UAUGAAUAUUAGAUGGAUGCCCAU
rnacentral:siRNA from 1 species